GGGUAUAGCUCAGUGGUAGAGUGCAUGCUUAGCAUGCACGAGGUCCUGGUUCAAUCCCCAGUACAUCCU
rnacentral:tRNA from 1 species